rnacentral:rRNA from 1 species
GAUGAACGCUAGCGGCAGGCUUAAUACAUGCAAGUCGAGGGGCAGCAUGGUGUAGCAAUACACUGAUGGCGACCGGCAAACGGGUGCGGAACACGUACAGAACCUUCCUUCGAGCGGGGAAUAGCCCAGAGAAAUUUGGAUUAAUACCCCAUAGAAGAUUGGAGGGGCAUCACUUUGAUAUUCAAGAUUUAUCACUCGAAGAUGGCUGUGCGUCUGAUUAGGUAGUUGGUGAGGUAACGGCUGACCAAGCCAACGAUCAGUAACUGGUGUGAGAGCACGACCAGUCACACGGGCACUGAGACACGGGCCCGACUCCUACGGGAGGCAGCAGUAAGGAAUAUUGGUCAAUGGACGCAAGUCUGAACCAGCCAUGCCGCGUGAAGGAUGAAGGUCCUCUGGAUUGUAAACUUCUUUUAUAUGGGAAGAAAUCCUUGAAUUCUUUCGAGGUUGACGGUACCAUAGGAAUAAGCACCGGCUAACUCCGUGCCAGCAGCCGCCGUAAUAC